rnacentral:rRNA from 1 species
GACGAACGCUGGCGGCGUGCCUAAUACAUGCAAGUCGAACGCAGUGGGGACGGGUGAGUAACAAGUGGGUAACCUCCCAUCAGAGGGGAUAACACUUGGAAACAGGUGCUAAACCGAUACUGAUGGAUGGACCCGCGGUGCAGUAGCUAGUUGGUGAGGUAACGGCUCACCAAGGCCACGAUGCAUAGCCGACCUGAGAGGGUGAUCGGCUACACUGGGACUGGUACACGGCCGAGACUCCUACGGGAGGCAGCAGUGGGGAAUGUUCGGCAAUGGACGAAAGCCUAACCGAGCAACGCCGCGGGAGUGAAGAAGGUUUUCGGGUCGUAAAACUCUGUUGUUAGAGAAGCGGUAUCUAACCAGAAAGCCACGGCUAACUACGUGCCAGCAGCCGCGGUAAUAC